AGUGAACGCUGGCGGUAGGCCUAACACAUGCAAGUCGAACGGCAGCACAGUAAGAGCUUGCUCUUACGGGUGGCGAGUGGCGGACGGGUGAGGAAUACAUCCGAAUCUACUUUUUCGUGGGGGAUAACGUAGGGAAACUUACGCUAAUACCGCAUACGACCUACGGGUGAAAGCAGGGGAUCUUCGGACCUUGCGCGAUUGAAUGAGCCGAUGUCGGAUUAGCUAGUUGGCGGGGUAAAGGCCCACCAAGGCGACGAUCCGUAGCUGGUCUGAGAGGAUGAACAGCCACACUGGAACAGAGACACGGUCCAGACCCCUAGGGGAGGCGGCGGUGGGGAUUAUUGAACAAGGGGCGAAAGCCUGAUCAACCAAUACGGCGUGGGUGAAGAAGGCUUUCGGUUGGUAAGGCCUUUUGUUGGGAAAAAAAAAGAGGCAGUUUAAUCCCCCGCUGUUAUGACGUAACCAAAAGAAAAGGCCCCGGCUAGCUUCGUC
rnacentral:rRNA from 1 species